rnacentral:rRNA from 1 species
UACGUAGGGUGCGAGCGUUGUCCGGAAUUAUUGGGCGUAAAGAGCUCGUAGGCGGUCUGUCGCGUCUGCUGUGAAAUCCCGAGGCUCAACCUCGGGCUUGCAGUGGGUACGGGCAGGCUAGAGUGCGGUAGGGGAGACUGGAAUUCCUGGUGUAGCGGUGGAAUGCGCAGAUAUCAGGAGGAACACCCGUAGCGAAGGCGGCACUCUGGGCCGAUACUGACACUGAGGAGCGAAAGCGUGGGGAGCGAACAGG